rfam:Stegodyphus mimosarum contig80567, whole genome shotgun sequence.
GCUUUCGUGGUGUAGUGGUAAGCACGCUCGACGCGUAUCCGAGAGGUCCGUGGUUCGAUUCCCGGUGAAAGCC